UACGUAGGGUGCGAGCGUUGUCCGGAAUUAUUGGGCGUAAAGAGCUUGUAGGCGGUUUGUCGCGUCUGCCGUGAAAGCCCAGGGCUUAACCCUGGGUCUGCGGUGGGUACGGGCAGACUAGAGUGUGGUAGGGGAGACUGGAAUUCCUGGUGUAGCGGUGGAAUGCGCAGAUAUCAGGAGGAACACCGAUGGCGAAGGCAGAUCUCUGGGCCGUGAACUGACGCUGAGGAGCGAAAGCGUGGGAGCGAACAGGAUAG
rnacentral:rRNA from 1 species